rnacentral:rRNA from 1 species
UCGGCAACGGAUAUCUCGGCUCUUGCAUCGAUGAAGAACGUAGCGAAAUGCGAUACUUGGUGUGAAUUGCAGAAUCCCGCGAACCAUC